CUAAUACAUGCAAGUCGAGCGCGGGAAGCAGAAAGAUUCCUUCGGGAUGACAUCUGUGGAACGAGCGGCGGAUGGGUGAGUAACACGUGGGCAACCUGCCUGUAAGACUGGGAUAACUCCGGGAAACCGGGGCUAAUACCGGAUAAGACUUUAUCUCGCAUGAGAUAGAGAUGAAAGAUGGCUUUUAGCUAUCACUUACAGAUGGGCCUGCGGCGCAUUAGCUAGUUGGUGGGGUAAUGGCCUACCAAAGCGACGAUGCGUAGCCGACCUGAGAGGGUGAUCGGCCACACUGGGACUGAGACACGGCCCAGACUCCUACGGGAGGCAGCAGUAGGGAAUCUUCCGCAAUGGACGCAAGUCUGACGGAGCAACGCCGCGUGAGUGAUGAAGGUCUUCGGAUCGUAAAACUCUGUUGUUAGGGAAGAACAAGUAUAAGGCGAAUAACCUUAUACCUUGACGGUACCUAACCAGAAAGCCCCGGCUAACUACGUGCCAGCAGCCGCGGUAAUACGUAGGGGGCGAGCGUUGUCCGGAAUUAUUGGGCGUAAAGGGUGCGUAGGCGGUCUUCUAAGUCUGAUGUGAAAGCCCCCGGCUUAACCGGGGAGGGUCAUUGGAAACUGGAAGACUUGAGUGCAGAAGAGGAGAGCGGAAUUCCACGUGUAGCGGUGAAAUGCGUAGAGAUGUGGAGGAACACCAGUGGCGAAGGCGG
rnacentral:rRNA from 1 species